CUGUAACUUCCAGAGACAGAGUCGCAAGUUAAACCAGUAGAAUGGCUGAACCUGCCAUCUGAAGAGUUACUAGUAUUUGGGAAUGGGAAAUGCUCAAUUUCUCCUUCUGUUACUGGAAAUUGUUGGCACUUUCUUUGUCUUAUAGUUCUAACAAACUGCAACCUCAUUUCUACUUCUUUCAUGGUAGGUCUCUCUUCUCCUUUUGUUUUCAAGCAUGAUUCUGCAAUUGAGACAAUUUCAUCAAUUUCUUCCCGGUUUGCCUCUUCCAUAACUUGCGAAUCCAAGAUCUCCAUGACUACUCCUUGUUGAUGCCCUUCCACAAAGUAAUGAGCCAAGCUUUGUUUUGUACCUUGGUCAUUUAUAAAAAUCGACUUCUUUCUUACUAGAAGCUCGACAAGUAUAACUCCAAAACUAUAGACAUCACUCUUCGCUGUUAGUUGGCCAGUGUAGUAGUACUCUGGAUCUAAGUAACCAAAUGUGCCUUGUACAUUUGUCAUAACAUGAGUUUGAUCAAGUGACAUGGUUCUUGAAGCUCCAAAGUCAGAAACCUUUGUAGUAAAGUUGUCGUCCAACAAUAUAUUAGAAGAUUUGACAUCUCUAUGGUAAAUUGGAAUUGCUGCAGCUGAGUGUAG
rnacentral:sRNA from 1 species